AUUGAACGCUGGCGGCAGGCCUAACACAUGCAAGUCGAGCGGAUGAAGGGAGCUUGCUCCUGGAUUCAGCGGCGGACGGGUGAGUAAUGCCUAGGAAUCUGCCUGGUAGUGGGGGAUAACGUCCGGAAACGGGCGCUAAUACCGCAUACGUCCUGAGGGAGAAAGUGGGGGAUCUUCGGACCUCACGCUAUCAGAUGAGCCUAGGUCGGAUAGCUAGUUGGUGGGGUAAAGGCCUACCAAGGCGACGAUCCGUAACUGGUCUGAGAGGAUGAUCAGUCACACUGGAACUGAGACACGGUCCAGACUCCUACGGGAGGCAGCAGUGGGGAAUAUUGGACAAUGGGCGAAAGCCUGAUCCAGCCAUGCCGCGUGUGUGAAGAAGGUCUUCGGAUUGUAAAGCACUUUAAGUUGGGAGGAAGGGCAGUAAGUUAAUACCUUGCUGUUUUGACGUUACCAACAGAAUAAGCACCGGCUAACUUCGUG
rnacentral:rRNA from 1 species